ACUCCUACGGGAGGCAGCAGUGGGGAAUAUUGCACAAUGGGGGAAACCCUGAUGCAGCAACGCCGCGUGAGUGAAGAAGUAUUUCGGUAUGUAAAGCUCUAUCAGCAGGGAAGAUAAUGACGGUACCUGACUAAGAAGCUCCGGCUAAAUACGUGCCAGCAGCCGCGGUAAU
rnacentral:rRNA from 1 species